rnacentral:lncRNA from 1 species
CAUUGAUCUAAUUCAUAUGCAGCAAUUUGAUUUUGAAAGAAAUACAUACUUAUAUAUAUGGUCCCAUCUCAGUAGUUCAUCUUACAAUAAUUCUACAUAUAAUAAUAAUAAUAAUAAUAUAUUUUGAUUAAGUCAUUGAAAAAUGUCUGAAGAUCAGUGGCAUUUUAUGCAAGAAUUUGGCUGUUGUUAGGGAAAACAGCAAAGGAAUUUACUAUAAUGUUAAAACAUGUAUAUUAUAAUCAAAUUUAGAACAUAUUGCAGAGUUGGAGCACAACACAGUACUCUUAAUUAUGGGGAGAAAAUGUGUUUGGUUGCUCAAAAGAGGUUUAUAUAUAGCAGAAGAAGUCCAGUCUUGGAGCAGUAACAAAAACAAUCUAAAAUUAAUAUGUAGUAUUAUAUAUUGUUUUUAUUUUCAUUCUAGUUUCUUUCAACUUUCUUGGCAACCAAACACAGUAAAUUACACAAAUUAAGAACAGAAAGAAAAAUUAAAAAAGAAAAAGGAAAAGGAAAAGGAAAAUAAUUCAAAGCCAAGCAUCAGACUUGCCUAGAGGUUUUGGAUUACCUCAUCUUCACCAUUUCAUCCAUAUUACUGAUCUUCAAGCCAUAGUUCCAUGGCUAAAUCACUAUAGUUAGAGUGUAAUAAUACCCUUACUCAUGGAAGAAAGAUACAUUCUUCCCUUCUUUGAAACUGCCAUCACCAUCUUCACCAUCAUAAUCUGCAAUCUUGAUCGACUCUAGAUAGAUGAAAGUAAUCUCUAGAAGAUAGAAAGAAAAAAUGAAAAUUACAUCAAGAAAAGAAGAAGAAGAAGAAGAAGAAGAAGAAAGAAGAAAGAAGAUGUGACCCUAAUUUUGGAGUUGUUCGUUAUUUUAUAUACAAUAAUUAUAUUAUUGUAAAGACUAAUAAAAUAGAUUUUGAUUACUUAGUUGGUAGAAUUAAAACGUGGUUUAUUAUUUAAUCACUUCAGUCUGUAAUAAUAAAAAAAAAAUAUUUUUUUAGUAAAAUAAAGAACCUCUUUAUUGUAUGAGGGUGGGAAUCUAUGGCUCAACCAUUAAAUUGUUGGGUCCAUUAUAUUUAAUGAAAAUUA